GGCCCCUUAGCUCAGUUGGUUAGAGCACGCGACUCAUAAUCGCUUGGUCGCUGGUUCAAGUCCAGCAGGGGCCACCA
rnacentral:tRNA from 26 species